rnacentral:rRNA from 1 species
GUCCACGCCGUAAACGAUGUCGACUUGGAGGUUGUUCCCUUGAGGAGUGGCUUCCGGAGCUAACGCGUUAAGUCGACCGCCUGGGGAGUACGGCCGCAAGGUUAAACUCAAAUGAAUUGACGGGGCCCGCACAAGCGGUGGAGCAUGUGGUUUAAUUCGAUGCAACGCGAAGAACCUUACCUACUCUUGACAUCCAGAGAACUUAGCAGAGAUGCUUUGGUGCCUUCGGGAACUCUGAGACAGGUGCUGCAUGGCUGUCGU